UACAGAGGGGGCAAGCGUUGUUCGGAAUUACUGGGCGUAAAGGGCGCGUAGGCGGCGGGUCAAGUCGAGUGUGAAAGCCCCGGGCUCAACCUGGGAGGUGCGCUCGAGACUGGUCUGCUAGAGUUCGGGAGAGGAGCGUGGAAUUCCCAGUGUAGAGGUGAAAUUCGUAGAUAUUGGGAAGAACACCGGUGGCGAAGGCGGCGCUCUGGACCGAGACUGACGCUGAGGCGCGAAAGCGUGGGGAGCGAACAGG
rnacentral:rRNA from 1 species